rnacentral:rRNA from 1 species
UACGAAGGGGGCUAGCGUUGCUCGGAAUCAUUGGGCGUAAAGCGCACGUAGGCGGCUUGCCAAGUCGGACGUGAAAUCCCUCAGCUCAACUGAGGACGUGCAUCCGAAACUGGCGAGCUUGAGUACUGAAGAGGAUCGCGGAAUUCCCGGUGUAGAGGUGAAAUUCGUAGAUAUCGGGAGGAACACCGGUGGCGAAGGCGGCCUGCUGGACAGCACCUGACACUGAGACGCGAAAGCGUGGGUAGCAAACAGG